GUGCUUUAGAGAUGAAUGAAGCUCCCUAUAUUAAAUAUUUCAUCCUUUCACUAUUGUUCGCUAUUGUGUUUUGUUUUUAGUGGAUUCAUAACGAGGCUGAUACAUUA